rnacentral:sRNA from 1 species
UGCUCUCUCUCCUUCAUUACUCCAAAAAAAUGCAAAAACCUUCUCCCUUCCAUUUAGUUUCUUUUUCGCAUUUCUCUCGGAUCCCAUGUCUGCUCUCUCUUAAUUUCCUCUCAGACCCCAUCCAUGGUGGAGCAACACAGGCAUGUCUGAUUCCUCUAUAAUAGUGCUCUGGUCCGCAACACUGAGACCCAAACGAGCAGAUCUAAAACAGUUCGUCCAAAAAUCCUCCCUUUGCAGUUUCCUCGCAGAUUGAUGCAUCCGUAGCCUUCCAUAACCCCACAACAAUGCACCUCCAUGAGUACCCCGCCGUUGUGGAAAAUCAGAAAAACGGAAACCCAAAGUGUGGAGAGCCCUAAUGGUUUCAAAUCCGAGACAACAACACAAGAACACACCCUGAGUCAGCAGCUCAGCUCAACCAAGGAUCUGCAAAUGUUGAGCAUACGCCCGUGAGAAAACAAGCUUAAGCGUCCGGUCUAAUAGUCUCAGAAAGCAAAAUCAACAGCAACUGUCGCGGCCUCUGUAUGUCAUGAAGGGGUAUACGGAUCCAUGAUAGAGCCAAGGAGACAGAAGUAAACACACAAGAGCAACGGAGGAAAACAGCACAGGCCGCAUGACCCAAAUCGAUGCAUCU